UCCCACCUCCGCUCGGAGGAAGCGCCGCCUCCCCGCCGUCUAGGGCUCUCGCCAAGUGGCUGCUAACAAAGCCCAGGGCCCUGCUGGGGGGUGGUUGAGUGACAAAGUCGUGUCUGCUCGGCCCGCUCCCCCGGCUGCGCGUUUCUCCACUCGUCCCGCGAAGCCGGAGCUGACAAGGCGGGAAAGUCACCGGCCGGAGCGUGGCAGGCCCGGGGUCACGUCUGGAGGCUGCCAUUUACUUGAAGCCCCUUUGUGAAUUCAGCUAACCCUAAUUCUCCAGAAAGAGUUGGAAAUUCAGGACCCAUCAACAAAAACCAGCCCCAACCGAGUCAGCCAGAGAGUUCUGCCCUCCUCUGCUACCUGCGUUGUUGACACACCUGCCACUUUAACCAAUUCUGAGUAGAAGGAGGAGGAACGGCCAAAUCCAUUCUGUACACUAACAGGUGACUUCAUUGGGAAAAUGCAGACGCGACCAAGGACAACUGUGCUUCAGCCACUGGAAUUACAAACACAGAACUGCCCUGAUGAUCUACCCGAUAAAGAUGAAUGUGAAACACUCAGCGAUCAGGGCAGAGUGGACAGUGAGAGAGAGAGAGAGACAGAAAGGUCUUCCUUUUCCGUUGCUUCACCCUCCAAUGGCCGCUGCGGCCGGCACACAGCGCUGAUCCGAAGGCAGGAGCCAGGUGCUUCUCCUGGUCUCUCAUGGGGUGCAGGGCCCAAGCACUUGGGCCAUCCUCCACUGCACUCCCGGGCCACAGCAGAGAGCUGGACUGGAAGAGGAGCAACUGAGACAGAAUCCGGUGUCCCGACCAGGACUAGAACUUGGGGUGCCGGCACCGCAGGUGGAGGAUUAGCCUAGUGAGCUGCGGCGCCGGCCUAUACCUCAGAUCUUUAACUGGGGGUCAGAGACUAUAAUUUUUGAAAAUUAAUAUGAGGCCGGCCAGUGGGCUGGGAGCCUGUGGGCCCCUUCAGAUGUAGAAUGAGUGUCCCUCACAAGCAGGCUGCCAGCUGUGGCUGGAAAGCCUGUCUCCAGACCAACUGGCAUCUCCCCAACUACAGCUCCUUGUGCUAUAUGUGUGGCAACCUUGCAGCUUUAAAUCGCACCUUCAGGGUGGGUGCAAGCAUUCACUCAGAGCUGGCAGGGGAAGGGGCUGAGCCGCUGGGGACAGUUGGACUGGCUCCAAGAGACCCUGGCUAUCUUGUGUGACCUUUCGGUUUUAAACCAUGCCUUCAGGUUAGUUACAGUCUUCCAUCCAGAGCUAACAAGGGAGGGGGCUGAGCCCCUUAGGAGACAAACAGUCUCCAGGAGACCCCCCCCCUUCUCCUUGAGCCCCAAGUCAAUCAACAUACAUACGUUAAACCCCUGUCUAAUGGGCACCGCCCCCCAAAAGGAUGACCCAAUGAGCAAAUGGUAAUGCCUUAAAAACCUGGGACACUUCCUUAAAGCCAGUGUCCUGCUAGGGUCUCCUCUCUAUCACUUACCAAUCAAAUAAAGUU